rnacentral:lncRNA from 1 species
AUUUCCAAUCACCUAAACAACCGAGCAAGACAAGCCACUCCGACAAGGUUGGCUGCCCGGCGGGUCUCUGUGAGAGAUCCAGGUAGAUGGUGAACGGCCCCGGCAGCUGAGGGCAGCCCGAGUCCCUGGCUUGCUUCACAGCGAUCCCGCUAAGCGGGGUGUAGCGAUGGCCCCCCAGGGCCCCAGGCCCAGUUUCCAGCGCCCCUCCCUGACCCCUGAGAGUGGCACCCCGGGUUCCCGGCAGCGGCGGGGGCGAGGCUUCGACCUCCCAGCUCGGGUCUGCGUGGGCUACGCCGCUGAGGCCUAGUUCUCUGUUCUCGACCGUGUCCUGGGGCCGCGGGUUCAGCUACAAGGAUGGCAGCACGCGACUUGCUGCCCUCCGGCUUCACAAAUCCCCGAGACCCUUUGAGGUGCUAGGCCAGUCACCCUUCACCCCCUGCUGGGACCCUGCGGUCCGCAGCCCAGACUGGGCAGAGAGAAGGCCGGGUGCGCGCUGGCAACGAAGGACGCUGGCCGCAGCUGAGGCGCUCCCGACCUCAGGCCGCAUCUUGGGGUCGCCCCCCU